AGGAGUCAGUCCUGUGAGGACAUGACCAUGAGAAAUGACUGAGAAUGUAGGAGAGCUUUUCAAUGUUAUGACAGCAACCUUCUACUUGUUUUAUACUUUAGUCAUUUCACUGUGUUUAUUUGUUCUGGAACACAUGUUAAUGUGGAUAGUUAAAAAGAUAAGCCAAAAUACUCUAUGAGAAUUAUUUAUGGUGUUAUUUCCAUGCUUCUGACCUCAGCUUCCUAUUGAGAAUGAAAGAAGAAUCUUUCCUUGACAGAAGCACCAAAACUACACAAUCAUGUACCUGAUAAGAAGCCUUUGGGCACAGUAAGUUCUUGCUUCAAGGACCAGGACUGACCAUACUUGAUUUGUGUAAAGGUGUGAGAAAAGACUGUCUGGUCUCUCAUACUUUUGUACACUGCGGUCUUUUUGUUUUGAUGCCAUUGAGGAGGAAAAAAUUGCAUCUUCUUUAAUCAGAACAACGAGGGUUUUGCAAUUGGCUCUUUCUCAACUAAUGACACCGUAUGAGGCAGAGUACAGUCCCUCAGGAACUUUCAAGAUGCAAAUAACUAUCACAGCAUGAAAAUUUCUGUAAUUUAAAUUUUCAGUUGAUGUAUAAUUCCUUGUUGUUUGUUUUGAGUCCUCAGACAUUAAGCCUGUUAGU